UAGGGAAUAUUGGACAAUGGGCGCAAGCCUGAUCCAGCUAUGUCGCGUGAAUGAUGAAGGUCUAAUGGAUUGUAAAGUUCUUUCAGCAGGGAAGAUAAUGACGGUACCUGCAUAAGAAGCCCCGGCUAACUCCGUG
rnacentral:rRNA from 1 species